UACGGAGGGUGCAAGCGUUAUCCGGAUUCACUGGGUUUAAAGGGGGCGUAGGUGGGAAUGUAAGUCAGUGGUGAAAUCUCCCGUGCUUAACACGGAAACUGCCAUUUGAUACUAUGUUUCUUGAAUUUUUCUGGAGGUUAGCGGAAUAUGUCAUGUAGCGGUGAAAUGCUUAGAUAUGACAUUAGAACACCAAAUUGCGAAGGCAGCUUACUACCCGAAUAUUGACACUGAGGCAACGAAAGCGUGGGGAUCAAACAGG
rnacentral:rRNA from 1 species